CCUACGGGCGGCAGCAGUGAGGAAUAUUGGUCAAUGGGCGGGAGCCUGAACCAGCCAAGUCGCGUGAAGGAUGACUGCCCUACGGGUUGUAAACUUCUUUUGUAAAGGAAUAAAGUCAGGCACGUGUGCCUUUUUGUAUGUACUUUAUGAAUAAGGAUCGGCUAACUCCGUGCCAGCAGCCGCGGUAAUACGGAGGAUCCGAGCGUUAUCCGGAUUUAUUGGGUUUAAAGGGAGCGUAGAUGGGUUGUUAAGUCAGUUGUGAAAGUUUGCGGCUCAACCGUAAAAUUGCAAUUGAUACUGGAAGCCUUGAGUACAGUUGAGGUAGGCGGAAUUCGUGGUGUAGCGGUGAAAUGCUUAGAUAUCACGAAGAACUCCGAUUGCGAAGGCAGCUUACUAACCCGCCACUGACAUUGAUGCGCGAAAGUGUGGGUAUCAAACAGGAUUAGAUACCCCGGUAGUC
rnacentral:rRNA from 1 species